UGAACGCUGGCGGCAGGCCUAACACAUGCAAGUCGAACGGUAACAGGAAGCAGCUUGCUGCUUCGCUGACGAGUGGCGGACGGGUGAGUAAUGUCUGGGAAACUGCCUGAUGGAGGGGGAUAACUACUGGAAACGGUAGCUAAUACCGCAUAANGUCGCAAGACCAAAGAGGGGGACCUUCGGGCCUCUUGCCAUCGGAUGUGCCCAGAUGGGAUUAGCUAGUAGGUGGGGUAACGGCUCACCUAGGCGACGAUCCCUAGCUGGUCUGAGAGGAUGACCAGCCACACUGGAACUGAGACACGGUCCAGACUCCUACGGGAGGCAGCAGUGGGGAAUAUUGCACAAUGGGCGCAAGCCUGAUGCAGCCAUGCCGCGUGUAUGAAGAAGGCCUUCGGGUUGUAAAGUACUUUCAGCGGGGAGGAAGGGAGUAAAGUUAAUACCUUUGCUCAUUGACGUUACCCGCAGAAGAAGCACCGGCUAACUCCGUGCCAGCAGCCGCGGUAAUACGGAGGGUGCAAGCGUUAAUCGGAAUUACUGGGCGUAAAGCGCACGCAGGCGGUUUGUUAAGUCAGAUGUGAAAUCCCCGGGCUCAACCUGGGAACUGCAUCUGAUAYUGGCAAGCUUGAUUCUCGUAACAAGGUACCC
rnacentral:rRNA from 1 species